AUUUAAAUAGUUUAAUAAAAAUAUUGAUUUGUGGUGUCAAAGAUGUAGGAUAUACUUUAAAUU
rnacentral:tRNA from 3 species